rnacentral:rRNA from 1 species
CAGAGUUUGAUCAUGGCUCAGGACGAACGCUGGCGGCGUGCCUAAUACAUGCAAGUCGAGCGAACAGAGAAGGAGCUUGCUCCUUCGACGUUAGCGGCGGACGGGUGAGUAACACGUGGGCAACCUACCUUAUAGUUUGGGAUAACUCCGGGAAACCGGGGCUAAUACCGAAUAAUCUGUUUCACCUCAUGGUGAAACACUGAAAGACGGUUUCGGCUGUCGCUAUAGGAUGGGCCCGCGGCGCAUUAGCUAGUUGGUGAGGUAACGGCUCACCAAGGCGACGAUGCGUAGCCGACCUGAGAGGGUGAUCGGCCACACUGGGACUGAGACACGGCCCAGACUCCUACGGGAGGCAGCAGUAGGGAAUCUUCCACAAUGGGCGAAAGCCUGAUGGAGCAACGCCGCGUGAGUGAAGAAGGAUUUCGGUUCGUAAAACUCUGUUGUAAGGGAAGAACAAGUACAGUAGUAACUGGCUGUACCUUGACGGUACCUUAUUAGAAAGCCACGGCUAACUACGUGCCAGCAGCCGCGGUAAUAC